rnacentral:lncRNA from 1 species
GAAAAUUUUUUUCUUGCUCUCCCUCAUCCCACACUACCCAAAUCUAUAGACUGACUCUCCCUCCAGAUGUUUGUCUCUCCUCUUUCUUUUAAACAGGAGCUGGGCUGUGACUGCAGGACAUCUCAACUGUCUGGCCAGAGAGGAGCAUGUUAUGUACAAUAGGAUGCUCAGGAGAAUGCUGGGAUCCUCGUGCCAGGACCCCACACCUGACACCAGGACAACACCACACUCUUGGGAUGGGACCAGUGCUCCCAGCAUCAAGGGAGUCCCACUUGAAGUCUCCUAAGAGGAAAACCACAACAAUGGAAAACAGAGAAGAGCUGGGACACAUUGAACCUGACAAUAAGACCAGGGCAACCUUUCCUUUCAAUACAUGUAACUCAAGCAACAGCUUCAGGACUCUGCUGGUCAUGACACUGUACCCCUUCCUGUGCAGUCCAAGUCACUCUGGGAGAAGAGCAACUGACACACACUGGUGCAGAAAUGGUGAGCAAACCAGACCCCCUUCAGGACAUCUUGACACCUAGAACACACCAGGCUAUUUCCCAGAGGCAAGGACCCACCCUGGGUGUGGUGGUUUGAAAGAAAAUGACCCCCUUGGGGCUCACACUAUUUGCAGAUGUGGCUUUGAAGAAAUAGGUAUGGCCUUGUUGGAGGAAGUAUGUUGCUGUGAGGUGGGCUUUGAGGUCUCUUAUGCUCAAGCUAUAUACAGUAAAACAGUAAACUUGCUGUUGCCUCCAGAUCAAGAUAUAGAUCUCUCGGCUAAUUCUCCAGCACCAUAUCUUCCUGCAUGCCACCAUGUCCCACAAUGAUGAUAAUGGACUAAACCUCUGACACCGUAAGCCAUCACAAUUAAAUGUUUUCACUUAUAAGACUUGCUGUGGGUCACUGAAUCCUGCAGUGACCUGGAGAAAGUCCAAAGCAACCAAUACCAAUUGCCAUCACUGCCUUCCCCCCUCCACCCUCUGGUAGAGCAAGUGAGUGAAGGAUCGACAGGACAGGAUAGACCCUUAAACCCAUACCCACCAGAAGAGGGAGAGACCCCACCUAUACCCACUGGAAGAAGAGAUGGGAAGAUGACAGUAUACAAACACAUCCAACAACAGAAAGACUUAUUUGACACCACCAGAGUCUAGGGACUCUACACCACCAAGACCUGACCAUACCAACGCAGACAAAACAGAAGAGAAUGACCUUAAAAACAGCUUCAUGAAAAUGAUAGGGGCCCUCAAAGAGGAUAUGAGAAAAUUCCUUAAAGAAAUGGAAGAAAAAAACAAACCAAAACAAUGCAAGAAAUCAACAAAUCUCUUAAAACAAGGAGAGCCAAGAAAAAACAAACAGAUGAAGGAAACAAUUCAAGACCUGAAAACUGAAAUAGAGACAAUAAAGAAAACACAAUCUGAGGGAAUGCUGGAAAU